GUAAGUAACUCCGCCAUUCCAUCCCGCUGUGGACUGCGAAGAAUCCAUUGCGCGCUACACACAUCCAGUUCCAAGUCCUCAGUGUCACCAUCUCAAGAGCUCUUCGAUCAGGACCGCGAGUCACUACUCGGCCUCCACCGUCAUCUUAAAGAUCCUGCGGAGGGAUAGGAAAUGCGAGUUCCAAAGAGAUGAAUCACGAGGGAUUCCAUGCACCUUAAAGAACAUCCGCCGCGACUCUGUCAUCCUUGAUGAGUAUCCUAUCGAACAAUGCAGUUGCUUGCUCCAUAUCCCCACUGUGGGCAUCAUCGCACUGGGGCAUCCCAAAGAAGAUUUGGCUGGCGUGAUGCAUGUCUCGGCCCGAGCCAAGCCAGAACAGCUCGUUGCGGCAUUUGCCUCGUCAUGAUGCCCAUUCGGGGCAUAUGUGCUCACUAUUGUCGUCCAGGUCACCACGUCCUGGCUUUCCUCGCAUCAGCAACGCGAUUUUCUUCGCAAAGGACCCGUAAUAGGAUGUUCCGAGAGAAGGGGAGUGGAAAACCUUGAUCGCCUCGUCUGGCAUAUGUGAUAGCAGAAUGUGCAUUGCCGGUACUUGCUCGCCAGGAUGCGGGAGGAUUCGAGUGGUUGAGAUAGAAUGACUCACUUGUAGCGCUAUGCCUCGUGGAACAUCGCUCACCUUAAAGGAAGGAUUGCGUUCCAAGGAAUCUGCUUUAGGUUGGAAGAUGAAGGGCUGAAUGUUUCCAUUGGAAUCUAACGAUUGAGAAGAUCUUCUUUCAAAUAGAUGUGAUAUGAACUCACUUCUGGUUUCUGUUUUUUCUCUUGCAGGCAUAGUCAUAACUGGUGGCAUUUAGAGCUUUGUCAUCUAGAGGGUGGUCCAGCUGAGAACGUGCUACGCAUAUUUGACACCCGUAUAUGGGGAGACCACGAAAGAGCUGAAAGGGAUACAUUUGCGGUGAGCUUAAACGCGUUGGAAUUUUUGCUGUGUCUUCAAGUAAACAGAUUUGGAGAUCACAUCACGAAGCUCUUUGUGGACAAGUCCACAUGAUUUUCUGGUCCUUUGGUCACUGGUUCGAAGCUCUUUAUUGCAGAGGCCAAACAAUUACUCUCAUAUUUGAAUCAACGGUGAGAAAUGUUGUCAAAGUGACCUCACUCUGACUCUCAUCAGAGCAUAAAUGAUCGGUUCUACAGAGGAGAUUCACCAAACGAUAGUCUCGGUAAUCAAUGCUGAUUUAGUUUGUGUU